UGGGGAAUAUUGGACAAUGGGCGCAAGCCUGAUCCAGCCAUGCCGCGUGGGUGAAGAAGGCCUUCGGGUUGUAAAGCCCUUUUGUUGGGAAAGAAAAGCAGCCGGUUAAUACCCGGUUGUCAUGACGGUACCCAAAGAAUAAGCACCGGCUAACUUCGUGCCAGCAGCCGCGGUAAUACGAAGGGUGCAAGCGUUACUCGGAAUUACUGGGCGUAAAGCGUGCGUAGGUGGUUUGUUAAGUCAGAUGUGAAAGCCCUGGGCUCAACCUGGGAACUGCAUUUGAUACUGGCAGGCUAGAGUGCGGUAGAGGGGUGCGGAAUUCCUGGUGUAGCAGUGAAAUGCGUAGAGAUCAGGAGGAACAUCCGUGGCGAAGGCGGCACCCUGGGCCAGCACUGACACUGAGGCACGAAAGCGUGGGGAGCAAACAG
rnacentral:rRNA from 1 species